AUUGAACGCUGGCGGCAUGCCUAACACAUGCAAGUCGGACGAGUGGCGGACGGGUGAGUAACGCAUCGGAAUGUGCCCGUUAUAGGGGGAUAACUGUCCGAAAGGAUAGCUAAUACCGCAUACCUUCCGAUCGGCCUAUGUCGGAUUAGCUUGUUGGGGGGGUAAAGGCUCACCUAGGCGUCGAUCAAUAGCGGGUCUGAGAGGAUGAUCAGCGACACUGGGACUGAGACACGGCCCAGACUCCUACGGGAGGCAGCAGUGGGGAAUUUUGGACAAUGGGCGCAAGCCUGAUCGAGCCAUGCCGCGUGUGUGAAGAAGGCCUUCGGGUUGUAAAAUACGUUUGUCAGGGAAGCGGUACCUGAAGAAGAAGCACCGGCUAACUCCGUGCCAGCAGCCGCGGUAAUUC
rnacentral:rRNA from 1 species